UACGGGGGGAGCAAGCGUUGUUCGGAUUUACUGGGCGUAAAGGGCGCGUAGGCGGUCAGCACAAGUCAAUUGUGAAAUCUCCGAGCUUAACUCGGAAAGGUCAACUGAAACUGUGCGACUAGAGUGCGGAAGGGGCAACUGGAAUUCUCGGUGUAGCGGUGAAGUGCGUAGAUAUCGAGAGGAACACCUGCGGCGAAGGCGGGUUGCUGGGCUGACACUGACGCUGAUGCGCGAAAGCCAGGGGAGCGAACGGG
rnacentral:rRNA from 1 species